UGCCAGCCGCCGCGGUAAUACGGAGGGUCCAAGCGUUAAUCGGAAUUAUUGGGCGUAAAGGGUAGGUAGGCGGUCUCGUUUGUCUGGGGUGAAAUCCCUGAGCUUAACUCAGGAAGUGCCUUGGAAACGGCGAGACUAGAGUGUCGGAGAGGGUUGUGGAAUUCUCGGUGUAGCGGUGAAAUGCGUAGAGAUCGAGAGGAACACCAGAGGCGAAGGCGGCAACCUGGACGAUUACUGACGCUGAACUACGAAAGCGUGGGGAGCAAACAGGAUUAGAUA
rnacentral:rRNA from 1 species